GCGAGAGUGGUGGAACGGCAGACACGCUGGACUUAGGAUCCAGUGCUUUCGGGCAUGGGGGUUCGAGUCCCCCCUCUCGCACCA
rnacentral:tRNA from 1 species